rnacentral:misc_RNA from 1 species
AAUCUUCUCUGAUUAUAGUUUUGUUAUAUAUGCUUUUCAAAACGUGUAAAUUUGCUUCCUCAAGUUGGCUGGUUCAGGUUUCUAGUUUGAACAAUGGUCUUUUAAACCAGGAUCAUUUGCACUAUCUCCUUUCCAUGGUUUGAUGAGCUAUAUAGGGAAAAUUUUCAUUAACAAACUUUAUUAUUUUAGCAGAGCUAUCGGUGUCAUGUAUCUGAUUGUUCUUAUGAGCAUUCCAACCAUCCC